rnacentral:rRNA from 1 species
CCAGACUCCUACGGGAGGCAGCAGUGGGGAAUAUUGCACAAUGGGGGAAACCCUGAUGCAGCAACGCCGCGUGAGUGAAGAAGUAUUUCGAUAUGUAAAGCUCUAUCAGCAGGGAAGAAGAUGACGGUACCUGAGUAAGAAGCCCCGGCUAACUACGUGCCAGCAGCCGCGGUAAUACGUAGGGGGCAAGCGUUAUCCGGAUUUACUGGGUGUAAAGGGAGCGUAGGUGGCAUGGCAAGCCAGAAGUGAAAACCCGGGGCUUAACCCCGCGGAUUGCUUUUGGAACUGUCAGGCUGGAGUGCAGGAGGGGCAGGCGGAAUUCCUGGUGUAGCGGUGAAAUGCGUAGAUAUCAGGAGGAACACCGGUGGCGAAGGCGGCCUGCUGGACUGUAACUGACACUGAGGCUCGAAAGCGUGGGGAGCAAACAGGAUUAGAUACCCGCGUAACA